GUACUACCUUCGGGUGUACAUACGGAAAAACUGGAACGGUGCAGAGAAUAUUAGCACGGCCCCUGCGCGAGGAUGACACGCACAAUCGUGAAGCGUUCCUCUAUUGA